rnacentral:rRNA from 1 species
GGGCCCGCACAAGCAGUGGAGCAUGUGGUUUAAUUCGAUGCAACGCGAAGAACCUUACCAGGCCUUGACAUCCUGCGAAUCUCUUGGAAACAGGAGAGUGCCUUCGGGAACGCAGUGACAGGUGGUGCAUGGCUGUCGUCAGCUCGUGUCGUGAGAUGUUGGUUAAGUCCCGCAACGAGCGCAACCCACGUCUUUAGUUGCCAGCAUUUAGUUGGGCACUCUAGAGAGACUGCCGGUGAUAAACCGGAGGAAGGUGUGGAUGACGUCAAGUCAUCAUGCCCCUUACAUCCUGGGCUACACACGUACUACAAUGCUACGGACAAAGGGCAGCAAGUUCGCGAGGAC